UACGUAGGGUGCGAGCGUUGUCCGGAAUUACUGGGCGUAAAGAGCUCGUAGGUGGUUUGUCGCGUUGUUCGUGAAAACUCACAGCUCAACCCUGAGCGUGCUUCCGAUACGGGCAGACUAGAGGUAUGCAGGGGAGAACGGAAUUCCUGGUGUAGCGGUGGAAUGCGCAGGAGUAUCGAGGAGAACACCGGUGCGAAGGCGGGAUUCUCCGUGGGGC
rnacentral:rRNA from 1 species